AGUGAACGCUGGCGGUAGGCCUAACACAUGCAAGUCGAACGGCAGCACAGUAAGAGCUUGCUCUUACGGGUGGCGAGUGGCGGACGGGUGAGGAAUACAUCGGAAUCUACUUUUUCGUGGGGGAUAACGUAGGGAAACUUACGCUAAUACCGCAUACGACCUACGGGUGAAAGCAGGGGAUCUUCGGACCUUGCGCGAUUGAAUGAGCCGAUGUCGGAUUAGCUAGUUGGCGGGGUAAAGGCCCACCAAGGCGACGAUCCGUAGCUGGUCUGAGAGGAUGAUCAGCCACACUGGAGCUGAGACAGAGUCCAGACUCCUACGGGAGGCAGCAGUGGGGAAUAUUGGACAAUGGGCGCAAGCCUGAUCCAGCCAUACCGCGUGGGUGAAGAAGGCCUUCGGGUUGUAAAGCCCUUUUGUUGGGAAAGAAAAGCAGCAGGUUAAUACCCCGCUGUUCUGACGGUACCCAAAGAAUAAGCACCGGCUAACUUCGUG
rnacentral:rRNA from 1 species